rnacentral:rRNA from 1 species
AUUGAACGCUGGCGGCAGGCUUAACACAUGCAAGUCGAGCGGAGCGAGGGUGCUUGCACCUUAGCUUAGCGGCGGACGGGUGAGUAAUGCUUAGGAAUCUGCCUAUUAGUGGGGGACAACAUUCCGAAAGGAAUGCUAAUACCGCAUACGCCCUACGGGGGAAAGCAGGGGAUCUUCGGACCUUGCGCUAAUAGAUGAGCCUAAGUCGGAUUAGCUAGUUGGUGGGGUAAAGGCCUACCAAGGCGACGAUCUGUAGCGGGUCUGAGAGGAUGUUCCGCCACACUGGGACUGAAACACGGCCCAGACUCCUACGGGAGGCAGCAGUGGGGAAUAUUGGACAAUGGGCGGAAGCCUGAUCCAGCCAUGCCGCGUGUGUGAAGAAGGCCUUUUGGUUGUAAAGCACUUUAAGCGAGGAGGAGGCUACUAGUAUUAAUACUACUGGAUAGUGGACGUUACUCGCAGAAUAAGCACCGGCUAACUCUGUGCCAGCCGCCGCGGUAA